GUCUAUGGCCAUACCACCCUGAACGCGUCAGAUCGCGUCUGAUCUUGGAAACUAAGCAAGCAGGGUCUGGCCUGGUUAGUACUUGGAUGGGAAGCACUCAAUUUUUAAAAACAAGCAAGAUA
rnacentral:rRNA from 1 species